rnacentral:tRNA from 1 species
UGGAGUGUGGCACAGUGGGUAAGAACUGGGCUUUUAACCGAAAGGUCGCAGGUUCGAUCCUGUCCACUGCCG